rnacentral:rRNA from 1 species
UACAGAGGAUGCAAGCGUUAUCCGGAAUGAGUGGGCGUAAAGCGUCUGUAGGUGGCUUUUUAAGUCCGCCGUCAAAUCCCAGGGCUCAACUCCGGGUCUGCAGUCGAUACGGGCGGACUUGAGUACUGCAGGGGAGACUGGAAUUCCUGGUGUAGCGGUGAAAUGCGCAGAUAUCAGGAGGAACACCGGUGGCGAAGGCGGGUCUCUGGGCAGUAACUGACGCUGAGGAGCGAAAGCGUGGGGAGCGAACAGG